UAAUACCGUCACGACUACAAAUCCAGUGACAUGCUAAUUUAUCCCACCACCGUUCGUGAUAGGCUACAGAUCCAGACCCCGUGACCUCCGAUCCAGACCCACUGACAGCGGCCGACGCUGACGGGUACAUGCAGCCCAACUCGUCCUCUUCUCCUCAGGCCACGCCCGCCGCCUUCGCAUCGACACCUCCUGGUCCUGCCCCGCCGCGCAGAGGAAAUUGAGCAGAUACACCUGCCCAAUCCGGCCAUCCACGAAAGGUCUAUUGUGCUUCCAAUAUUUGUCAUGGCAAUUGUUGUUGAGAUAAUAAUGCUCGAGCACUUGAAUUGAUACUUACGGAGAGAGGAGAACACCAGUUUUGUCGACUAGGCACAACCGCAAACGCUCAGUAAUUUAUUGUGCGAAUCUUGGUGUUGUGUGCGCUCACUGUUCAGUGUGUAAUUAGCUUUUUUUUUUUUGCUCUUUCACAUCCUGGGAAUUUAGCUAUGCAGUUAUCUCCUACAGAUUAUCCUAAUGAAGCAACAUAGCAAGUGUUUCAUCCCUUCCCAGAUCAAAUUUGUUUAUACAGGCGUUUUCUUCCAGUUUCUGCUGUACCCACCCAAUAACUUGCCUGUAAUAUAAUCCUGCAAGUAUAAUGAAUCUUGGAUGUUAUUAAUCUGUACAGUAGCAAAUUUCAAUAUAUUACUGAACUAUAGUGAUGAACAUUGAACAUAGUGAUAAGUUUCAGUACUGGCUUAGUCUUUGCUGCAGUCCUGUAUGUUCAUGGUGUAUUGUGCGGACAAUGUAGGUUCGUAACAACACUAGAGUUCACUGCAAAAAAUCAAAAUAAAAUAAAAACACUAAAGUUUGAUCAUCUGAAAAUUGCUAGUUUUAACCCCAUCUAGAACCCUGUUUUGGGAGCUCAACCUUGGUGCUAAUGUUGAGCUGGACCUUUUCUUUUGAACCUUGAAUUGUGUGCUGGCUUGUAUGCAUGCCAUUGCACGCUCAUUUGGAGUUCGAUGUGUGUGAAUUGUAUUGCUGCAUACAUGUUAGAAUAACUACAUCCAAACCUGUAGCGACUUCUCUUGCUGAUGUCAAGGGGACUUUUGGAUUUGUUGUUUUGUAAAAUGAAACUACACUUUUUAGAUCUCACUUACUGAAACCUUGCUCAUGUUGUCUGAUAUAGUCUACAGAGCAUUGUGGACAACAAUAUUAACAUAUUCCCUAAGAUUAAAAUAAUAGUGCAGACAACAACAACUAUUCGUUUGGAACUAAGCUUAUAUCCAAUUAUAAUUUACUAAUGUAGGUUAGAACUUGUAAUAUCUGCAUAUGGGCACAUGGCUUCAACCAGCUGAACUUCUAUCAUCAAUUUUUUACUCUGAUAUUUUUAAUAAUGUAUGUUGAACUUGUAAAUAUCUUCGAAUUUAAACAGGCUUGCUGUAGUUGGACCCUUUGUCAUCUAUGGAUAAUAACUGAAUAAAUACAUUCUUAUCUGUUGUGUUGCUUGAAUAAAAAACUUGUUACUUUGUUAGUUUGUAGCUUACAGUGAUUAAAUUCUGUUUAACUGGGGUCCCACAAGGUGGAGAAGGAUUUCUUGGCACAAUCUGGAGACCCGACUGGAACUGGCAGGGGAGGUGAUUCUGUGUAUAAGUGAGCAUUGUUUUACUGAACUGUGUCCCUAACUUUCUUUUUCUCGUUUGCUAAGCUCUGAAUUCCGUACCAUAUAAUUUUGAUCUCUUAUGUCCAAUGUUUACUUGAGUCUAAGCCUCUAAGGCAGUUACUAUUGUCAAAGAUAUGCCUGACAACUGGAUCUAUUUUCCCAAGUUUCUUGAUGGUGAUCAGGCUCGAUUUUUUAAUGACGAGAUCCGUCCGGAAUUCAGGCAUUCAGAAACUAGCACGAUUGCAAUGGCAAGUGCUGGUGAAAAUUGCAAUGCCUCGCAGGUAGGAUGCUAUGUUGCCUACUCUACUAUUUUGAUUACCAACUUGAUCAUUCAUUUUUGAGGACCUUGAUGCUGUUUUUAACCUUCUUAUAAUUAUUUGUAGUUUUUAACUUCUUAAUAUAUAUUUGUGAAUUUUUAGUUCUACAUUACCUUGUGGGAUGAAGUGACUACCUUGAUGAUAAGCACACUGUUAGUACCUUAUUGCAUUGUUUUUUUAUUCCGGCAGAGAGGUUAUAGAUGAUAAUUGUUUUAUCUUUAACGAGUUCAAUUUUCUGUCAAUCAUAGGUGUUUGGGACAGUUGCUGAAGGUUUUGACACACUGACAAAGAUAAAUGAAAAGCAUAUGUUUUUUUUGUUUUUUGCGAGUAAAAUGAAGCAUAUGUUGACGACAAAGGAAGACCAUUUAAGGACAUGAGGUUCAAUAUUGUUUUACACCUAUGGUAAACUGCCUAAUUAGGACAUAUUUGCCAAAAAAAUUGAUGCUAUUUAGUUUGAUGCCCUUGAGAGGCCAAAAUUCCUCACUCUGCCUUCAGCCAAAUUUGCCCAAAACAUGAGCAGCCAAUUUGGUCUACAAAUUAGGUUUGGUUCUUAUGCGCUACAUUUGGGCAAACACCAAAAACGCCUAUUUAGUUUCCAGCACAAAUUUACUUGUUUCUUUCUGCUGAACUCUUCCUUAAAUCUUAAUAGGCAGGAUUAAUCAUACAUAUAUCUUGGUGAUGAUCCUCCUCAGCUUGCUGAACUUAUUCCUGGUAAUGCUCCGCUAGGAAAGCCACGAUGAUGUAGUUUGAGUAAUGGUGUCGUGUUCAUUUCUGUAAGAUGACAAGCUUUUCAGUCUUCUAGCCUUUAGGAGAGGUCAAUGUGUGACAUAUGAUGUCCUUUCAAUGUGGAUAUGGCAUAUUGUUUUGUCCUGUUAUUGCAGGUUGCAGAAGAAUGCUGGGGAUAGUUGGGUCCCUUUAGAUGAAACAGUGGAUCCUGAGCAGCUUGAGGAGAUGUCUGCUCUAAAGAAGAACAUGCUAAUGCAUUUAUCCUUGAGAGUGUUGGAGACAUUCCAGAUGCUGAGGUCAAACUACCAGACAAUGUCUUAUUUAUUUGUAAACUCAACUCCGUAACACAAGAUGAAGAUUUAUAUACAAUCUUCUCACGUUUUGGAACUGUGACAUCAGCUGAAAUUAUUCGCGACUUCAAGACUGGAGAUAGCUUAUGCUACGUUUUUGUCGGUAGUUUAUUCCCUCUAGAACUUCCGUGCUUCAUUAACAUGCUGUGAAACAAUUUGGUAGAGAUAGCAAUUUUUAUUUGUAGAGAAUCCUGCUUCAAGUUUGUUCGUCAAACAGUUGCUUAGGUGUGGCCAGUGGAACCCACAUUAGGCAGCAUUCUGAAUUUUUAUGAUAGACAGAAGCAAGAUGGCAAAUAUGAAUGCGUCGAUCCGCAAACCUUGUGGAAGGGCGUAUGGCCCUGAAAACAAUUUGUCACAUGAGAUAGAUACUUGUCAUGCAGCUAAAUGAUUUUCCAGACAAAAACCUAAUAGGCAAAAAACACAUUAGAUGAUAGAUUUAGUAACGGAAGUCCAGUCAAAUUGAGGUACACACCUGUUUCUGCAUGCCAACCGGUCCUCCUUCUCUAGCUGCACAAAUUAUUAAUUUUAGCACAUGUAUUCACAGAAAAAAAACACAAAACCGAACCAAUCGAUGAGAGCAACACAUGAAUCAUUAAUUGGAUAGAUUCACAGCAAAAAUCUAACAAAAUGUCAAUGUGCAUAAACAUAAAAAAUGCAUAGACGAAAUACCUCCGUUCUCCAGACCUUUAAGCUGCUCUUGUAACUCAUCCGUGGUGUCCUCGACCUGAAUAAAAAAGAUAAAAAAAUAUUAGAUGUCAUGUCCAGAAAUAAAAGCUGGGCACAAGAAAACACUCCCAACAAAUCUACAAUGAGUAAAGAACCGGUUAUUGUGAGCAAAUUUCCUCACCAGACAUGAAUAGAAUUCACUAAACAAAAUAGAAAAAUUAAGAGCAAUGCAAACAACAAGCUACAAUGAGUAAAGAACCGGUUAUUGUGAUCAAAUUUCCUCAGUAGACAUGAAUAGAACUCACUAAACAAAAUAGAAAAAUUGAGAGUAAUGCAAACAACAAGCGAAGGCAUCGCUUUUCCAACUGCUGCCCGAGAAAUGGACUGACCUCUCUCUGUUCUUCCUUUUCCCCUUCUUCCCGAGUGACGGACAGUAACUCGUUUGGUUGUAGCGUUUUCCGCCGGGAUCCCCGUCCUUUCCCCCGGGUGGGACUUCCACGCGGAAAGUCUCCCGCGAAAAUUCCACGAGCGCAUUUGGACGUCGGCCAACCAGGGUAAAUCGGCCCGAUACCCGUCGUUUCCCCGUGGAAAAAAUCCACACCUCCUGACCUCGGGAGAAAAUCCUUGCUCGCUCCGGCGGCGCAUCGUUCUCUCGAGCUCGAGCCCCUCCGCCUCUGCCGAGCUACAGCGACGCCACCCCCGAGCUCCAGAGACGCCUCCCCCAAGCUGCUCUCCGCCUGAUGACCGAGCCCUACGCCUCAAAUGCUCAGAGCUCCUUUCGCCUCCGUUGAUGGCCGGAUCUCGUCUUCCUCAGCGACGCCUCCCCCAACCUGCUCUCCACCUGAUGGCCGAGCACUACGCCUCAGAUGCUCAGAGUUCCUCUCCCCUCCAUCUAUGGCCAGAUCUCCUCUUUCUCCUACCUCGCCACCUCCUGGACCUCCAAAGGAAAGAUACUAGCUGAUGUCUUGCUUCUCUUCUCACACGACCUCCCCACCUCCAGAAGAACCGAAUUUCAUUGAAAAACCGAAGAACCGAACGCCCACCCCGACCUGCCGCCGCCAGCACAUUGCGGCCGCCUCCUCCUCCGGCCGGCCCCGCUUCCUCCUCCCUCUCCGGCCGGCCCCGCCUCCUCCUCCCUCUCCGGCCGCCGCCUCCUUCCUUCCGCCGCCUCCUCCCUCUCCAGCCGUUUCAUGGAGCCGUCGCCUCCUCCCUCUUCUUCCGCCGCUGCCUCCUCCAUCCGCUUCAUGGAGUCGCCGCUACUCCAAGAAGCUGAGCAGCGCAGCCUCGCCCUCCUUCCGCCGCAUCCUCCCUCCGUCCAAUCCCGUCCGAAGGGCGCCGCCUCGUGGAGCCGCCGUUGCCAUCCAUGGAUGCCGUCGAGGAGGAGAAGAUGAAUGUGGAGCAGCAGGUGGCUCCCGUCGAGGAAUACCAGACCACGUCCAGGGACGUGUUCAGCUUGGUGUUUUGCAACUUAAGUAGCCAUUGUGCAGAUCGAGGAAAGAAGAGAAAGCAAAAAAUCUGGAAGAGAAGAGGAGGAAGAAACAGCAGGAGAAGAGGAGAAAGUUGGAAGAGAAGAGGAGAAAUAAGAAGGAGAAGGAAAAAAAGUUGCAACAAAAGAAGAACAAGCUAUGCAUUGCAACAUGGAAGUUAGAUCCCCAAUAUGUAGGUCUCCAGGGGUGAAUAUGAUGAUAACAUUAAAAAGGAGAUCUUCAGAGGCAUUACGUAAAGAUCCAACAAAAGUCCCAACUCUCAUAUAUUGGAUAAAACACCUGAAUCUUGAGCAAACUCCUUGUCUCCAAGAUCAGCAGCAUAUCAAAAUGAUGUGCCAACAACAACUCUUGGUUAGUUUUUAUCUACCUAAUCUUUGGUGUAUUUAACGGCAUUUUACGAAGGUAUGAGCUCGUCCAUUUCACGAAGCAAUAAUCAUGAACAACCUGAGAAGUACUACCUGAAUCCAUCACUCCUUUUUUUCUUUAACUUGACUUUCAAAAUUACAGUAAUAGAAACUCCCUAAAGAUGUUGUGCAGAUAAUCUUUGGUUGUUAAAUACAUUCAGCUAUUGUAUAUAUCAAAUUAUCCAAAUAUUUUCAGUUUUGUAUUUCUGCAGUAGAUCCUUUUCUUGUCUAAGCCAAUUUAAUCAUAGCCUUUCAAUCUCCCUCAGGCUGUAGUUCAACUUCUGCUCUUCGUUUAAGUUAGUUAAUUGAUUCACUAAAACAUCAAAGAAUCUGAACAUAAGUAUUGUAGAUAUAAAGAAUGAUAGCCUAAUUCAGUUUUCUCUUGUCUGAACAUAAAAGGCUGCAGACUUUUUUCCCAGAUCAGCACAUUACAAUACAACUUAAGGGCAAACCGUGGGUGUUAGAUUUGGACAAUGAAGUGGCAUGAUGUGGCUGCUGGUACAGUGAGAUUGACGAAGUGUGCUGUACUAGUCCUUACUAGCUCUUGCUGUGUUAUCAACCAGAAUAUUAAUUAUUCCCAAUUAGUAGCUACUCAUCCGAUCUCGAUCUAACAUAGACCAAUUAGUACCAUCCUAAAUUCUAGAAUAAUUUAGGGUGGUACUUCUCCUUCAGCUAUCAUAUUUGAAUAGCAUAUUAUUGUCUGCUUCUCCAUUCUAUACAUUUGUUGGUAAACAGUCCAUCGUAAUUUAGAUGCUGACAUUUUUCCCCAGAAUUGCAAUGAGGGAUGUGAAGACUUGAGACUCAAAGACUUGGUAUUACAGAAAAUGCUGAAUCUUUCUUUGGUGGUCAGAAAUGCAGAUAGGCAAUGGUUCUAACAAGCUUAAGAAGUUUGCUGUCCGCAAUGUCUUUGAAGUUAUGAGUUAGAGUUGGUUAUGAUGCGGAUAGGCUAAGUGCUCUCUUUUUUUAGCAAUAUUCCGACAGAAGCUGAAGAAAAUUAGUGAAUUCCAAGCAUGACCUUUGAUGUCCAUAGUAAUACUUUUUGACUUUUCAUGCCUUGUAGACGACUUUCUUCUGGUUCUUGAUGAAUCUAUGUAUAUUACAUUACUUCAGAUCAGCUCAUCGAUGAGCAGAUGUAGCUGUCAGCCAGACUGAUCAAGAAACUAGUUCUCCCUCUUCUUUCUUAUUACUGUGGCAGUGGUAGUGAGAUGUUAGUUACACA